UCUGCCAGCACACCUGUUGUCAAUCAUCCAGUCCUAGCUGCUGGAAAUUUAAGGAGCUGUUUGGCAACUAGUUUUCACCUGAUGGUCAACUCAAGCCUCUGAUUCCUUGUGAAACCUGCUCCUUGAUAGCUUUUGUGUUUCAGCCUGUUUCUCCUGAAGCUCACCAUCUGCUGCUUUCUGUGUCCCACAUGGAAAAGUCUGGCUGCUGUAUUGGCUACAAGAAUCCCAUCGGCAGAAGAGGACCUCUCAAUGACUUUUUGGACCAAACAAACAGCUCAUCCCUCUUCAACCACAGCCUACCUUUCCACUCUCAGACUUUGUGCGAGAACCCACAGAACUCUAAAGACCACUUGGACCUCAUGUCUUCAAACAAAUGGAUACAUUACCACCAGGAUCAUUAGCCUCCCUUUCAGCCUUAGCUUGACCCUGAGCCCAAUGCAGAUGAACCUGAUAGCCUGAAGUCAGACAUCACUGUAGUUGUAAAUAAAUCUUUGAACUGCU